ACCAAAAUGAGUUUGACACCCCUGGGUUACUAUAUGUUGUUUUUUUUUUAAAGAAAGGCUGUCAUCAUUUACCAGCAAGUUACCGGUCACUUAAAUAAGCCAAAAAAACUCUAUCAACCAGCAGACACAGCUUGUCAUUUUCACACAUCUAUUUGGAUUCAACAAACUCACUGUGUGAAUAAUGAGUCUCGUACUAAGCUAAGCUAACUUAAUGCAGUAGUUUAAUAUUUAACAGGUAGUUACGAGAACGGCCUGAUUUUUUUUUUUUUUUUUUUCAACCAGUUCUGUGUUGAAACUUUUUUCCUUUUCUUGACUCACUUCACAGCAUGUCAUUAGCGUUUUUGAGAUGAAACCAGAUCGACGGCUCACAUCAAUUAAAAAAAACAAAAAAAAACAAAAAAACAAAACAAAGACAGUCACUCUGCAAAGCCUUUCUUUAAAGUGGAAAUGUGUAGUUCCACCAAACACUGCAGCUAUUGUUUACAUUAACCUCCCGUCUCCAUCUAUCGACGACAACGUGCCUGUCACUGCUUUUACCUGUCGUAUAGUUUGGUCUCGCAGGCUGUUAAUAAAGCAGACACCAUGGACAAAAACCUGCCUGAAAAUGUCAACUCGCAGCAUUUUUCUAUGAAGAUUAGCUUUGUUUCCCAACCAAGAAUUCUUUUGUUUUUAUUAUUAUUGUUAUUAUUUCUGCAUUUAAUAAGACUUGUUUACUCUCAGUGAAUGUCAGUGACUCUGUACUAUCAGCUUGUUGCUCUUAUCUGUGUGAUUAUGUGCAUGCUGAUGCUCCCACACACUGAUUACUCUCUUACUGAUCUAAAUGGAUUCAGUGCAUGGCUGCAAUUUGUUUCCACCAAAAUUACUGACAAGCUCAAUCAGGAUGCUGCAAACUGUGUCACAUCCUGAUUGCUCUGAUCCGCUGUGUGGCAAAAAAUGCAGGAUGUAUAGAGUAUACAUCCAUCUUGUCUUUUAUAUUGAAAUAUUUGUUUUAAAUCAAGAAAACGAAUCAAACCUCAUUAGGAGUGCACGUGGCAGUGAAGUACACGUUAUAUGAGAUUGGUGUGUUACUCCUGGAAACCACAGGUGUAAAACUAUCCCCAUGUCAAUGAGGAAUGAGUGCUGCACAGAAAAGCAGAAAGAGGAUCCGGCUUUGAAAUAUUGAUGAGGCAAUAUCUUUGUGCUGCGAGAGAAAUCCAGUUUUAAAGGGUCCAGGAGGGACACGUCUCUUGUAAUGGUGAAUAUGCUUCUCUGUGCUUUUUUUUUUUUUUUAGAGUGUUGCUUUUGUAAGUGCUGGAGUCAGAGUGGUGUAAUAAAUAUUGCCUUACCAAAAUCUGCCACCCUGCCAAGCCCAAAGACUCUCAACCAUGGUGUUCGACAAAACGAAAGAGAGCUGAGCUGGCGUCCACAGAAUCUGACUCCUCCUGUUCAGUUUUCACCAGGCCCUGUGUCUGAUGAUGACGACUGGAUGAAUCUAAAGACUCCAACGUCCUAAAUGUACUGUACUUGAAGGCUGAGUGAGGUCUGUCAGCGAGUGUUUGUAUCCACCGUGUAAAGCUACAACUCUGUCGUCCACUGUGAAACUCCUGGGACACACACUGAAGGACUUUAAAUCAUCUUUUAAA